rnacentral:rRNA from 1 species
CCUACGGGAGGCAGCAGUGAGGAAUAUUGGUCAAUGGGCGCAAGCCUGAACCAGCCAUGCCGCGUGCAGGAUGACGGUCCUAUGGAUUGUAAACUGCUUUUGUACAGGAAGAAACACUCCCUCGUGAGGGAGCUUGACGGUACUGUAAGAAUAAGGAUCGGCUAACUCCGUGCCAGCAGCCGCGGUAAUACGGAGGAUCCAAGCGUUAUCCGGAAUCAUUGGGUUUAAAGGGUCCGUAGGCGGUUUUAUAAGUCAGUGGUGAAAUCUGGUCGCUCAACGAUCAAACGGCCAUUGAUACUGUAAGACUUGAAUUACUUGGAAGUAACUAGAAUAUGUAGUGUAGCGGUGAAAUGCUUAGAGAUUACAUGGAAUACCAAUUGCGGAGGCAGGUUACUACAAGUAUAUUGACGCUGAUGGACGAAAGCGUGGGGAGCGAACAGGAUUAGAUACCCUGGUAGUCCACGCCGUAAACGAUGGAUACUAGCUGUUUGGAGCAAUCUGAGUGGCUAAGCGAAAGUGAUAAGUAUCCCACCUGGGGAGUACGCUCGCAAGAGUGAAACGUCAAAUGAAUUGACGG